AUGGCGAUAAAAUUGAACUUUGUUACACCUAACAAAAAUACAAUAAUUUUCUUUAUUAAAAGUGCUCUAUGUAUACUGUCUCCUGUUGUUGUAAUAGCUGCUGCUGCUGCUAAGUCGCUUCAGUCAUGUCGGACUAUUUACAACCCCAUAGAUGGCAGCCCACAAGGAAUAAUACUGUCAAAGACUGAUGGGAUUUUUACAAAUUCUUUGUUGACUCUGGUUGCUCAGGAACCCAAGACAAUAGGGUGUGAUCGCUUUGUCUUCUGCUGAUUCCUCUGCAAGAGGAAGAACGAAGUCCUGGGGAUUUGUGUUAUGCACUUGAAUGCGCUGGACUGGAAGCAGCACAGAUCACUUGGCCGACAAUGUAUGAGCCUAAACUGCGAGGAGCAGCAAGUAAAAUCCUACCAUUUGCACCAAGAAUAGGUGGGAACUGAAGCCUUUGUCUAACAACAUGGUGACAGGCUGUGUGGUUUUUCUCCAUAAAAUUAUUCUAUCCUAACAUAUCAUAAUUUACUUAUUUAUUUGGUUAUUGUCUUUCUUUCCAUACUAGAAUGUAGGUUCCCUGUAGGCAGAUAUUUCUGUCCAUUGAGUUCACCUCUGUAUACUAAACACCCAGAGACAGUAGAAUUGGGCACAGCAGUUACUUGUUAAUAUAUGAAGGGAAUAUGCGGUAUCAGCAUAGGAAGCAGCUGCAGCAUUUCAUCUUCAUAAUGGUGACCACAUAAAUUACAUUUUCAAAGAUAGUAAGUACUUAAAGAGGUAUAGCCCAGAUAAUACAAUGACAAAUAUGAAAAAUAAGUAUAAAUGUCUAAAAGGCUUUAACUUACAGUAUUCUGAAUCACUAUUACCAUUCCAAAUCCAUAGUACUAUUAAUAAUAGAUACAUGAGUUAGGUAGUUAGAAUACAGGAAAAAGUUCAAAAUGGCGGUUAAAAAGUGGCAGCCAAAAGGCAGAAAAAGAAAGGAAAAAGCCCAUGAAAAGAGGAUGACAGAAAAUUCUGAAGACUGGAGUGGGAACCUCUGGUGGGAAAAAACAUACUUCCUUCCCCAUCAACAGCAGGUACAAGCCCUGUUUUGCACAGGGCAGGUUCCAGGAGGAGGAGAUAAAAAGUAUAAAAAUGGGAAGACAAGAGGGGUUGAGGCCACUCCUUUGGGGUCGGCCUGCCCUCACCUCUUGAGCUAAAAUAAAAUCUUGAGCUGUAACACUGGUCCAUUGUUUCAAAUCUUUGCUGCAAAGAGAUCAAACCAAGUGAAAGAAACACACUCACCUGAAAAUAUAUCUGACUCAGCUAUCGAGUACAAAUGUUCUGGUAUCAGGCAAAGCCAAGUUUAAAUCUUGGCUGCCCAAAUUAUUAGCUCUGCGUUUUGGAUUAUAAUGGUAUUAAACCAAACCCUCUUUUUAUGGGGCUUCCCUGGUAGCUCAUCUGGUAACGAAUCCACCUGCAAUGCAGGAGACCUGGGUUUGAUCCCUGAGUUGGGAAGAUCCCCUGGAGGAGGACAUGGCAACCCACCCCAGUAUUCUUGCCUGGAGAAUCCCUAUGGAGAGAGGAGCCUGGAGGGCUGCAGUCCAUGCU
ensembl:lincRNA